rnacentral:rRNA from 1 species
UACGGAGGGUGCGAGCGUUGUUCGGAAUUAUUGGGCGUAAAGAGCGUGUAGGCGGGUUGGUAAGUCAGAUGUGAAAGCCCCGGGCUCAACCCGGGAAGUGCAUUUGAAACUGCCUUUCUUGAGUAUGGGAGAGGAGAGUGGAAUUCCCAGUGUAGAGGUGAAAUUCGUAGAUAUUGGGAGGAACACCCGUGGCGAAGGCGACUCUCUGGACCAAUACUGACGCUGAGACGCGAAAGCGUGGGGAGCAAACAGG